rnacentral:lncRNA from 1 species
UGCAAUGCUAAGAACAACAAUAAACAAUUUAAUGCCCACUAUAUAUGUUAAAUUGAUGUCAGUACUAAAUUUUAUUGAUAUCUAAAAACCAACAUGAAAAAUCAAGUUAAACUGUACUGUUUAAUUUUAAGCAUACCUGCAAACCUUCUUGUUCUGCAAAGUUUGUAAUCUGUUAUUUUUAUCUUUACUAAGGGGAGACAAUGUAUUUUCAUAUUGUUAAAAACACAAAAGAGUUGUCCUUUCUUUAUUUUUACUAUAUCAAUGUCCAUUCUUUAUUUUUACUAUAUCAGUAAGAAUAAUAGUUGCAAUAUUGUGAAAAUCAGACACAGGAAAUACAUACCUUGCCUAAUCCGACACACUGGGGGACCAGAAAAAAAGGUUGGAUUAAACAGGGUGUCGGACUACUCAGGCUUUUUCUGCAAGGACAGGCCUAUUUUAGGACCAUGAAAAUGUGUCGAUAAAGCAGGAUGUUGGAAUACUCAGGUGUCGGAUAGGCAAGUAACACUGUACUAGAAAAACAACUCAAAUGAUAAUAAGAAUGAAAGUAGGAUGAUUUUUUACAACAAAUGGGACAAUUUCAUCUUUUUUUCAGUAAUAAAAAAAGUCAUCUAUGUGGGCAGAUAUGUCUAAGCAAUCACAAACACUAUUCAAAAUAGGAACAUUUUUAUGCUUAUUUGGCCAUGUAAAUUAACCUGAAUAUGAAGUAAAAUGGCACAAAUUCUGAUCACAUUUGAUAGACCUUUAAGCCUACUCCUAAUAUAGAAUAAAAUAAUGGUUAAUUAAAACAAUGUCAAGUAUCAGAAGCAGAUAAAUAUCUUUAAUUGGAGAUUCUUUAAGUCAUGGAACUUUAUGCUUAUAUUCUUGUUAUGCACUCAUCAACAUGUGUUAUAGCUAGUAGAGGAAGAAGAUUUUUUUUUUGCCAAAUAUUAUAAUUUUUUUUGAUGGAAAGAGGCUCACCACUUGUUUACAUCUGCUUUUGCCUCUGUAAAUCACAAAGAAAAAAGUCACAUACAAACAUAUGAGCCAGUCCAUGCGAAAAGGUACAAAAACAAAAAAUUGACGAAAUUCUAAAUAGUGUGCAUAAUUAUUGGUAGUAGACUUGUGAUUAAUAAAACACAUUUACUCUCCCUCAUAUCAUCAAGCUGUGAGCUACACGCACCUGCGAGUGUUGAGACCCCCCCCCUUUAGUUUUAUCAAGAUUUUUAGUGAAUUAUUUCAUAUAUUUCAAUCAUUUUCAAAGUACAGUUUAAAUGGCUUGAUUUUCCACUUGAUAAUGUUAACCCCGGUAGCAGUGGGGAUAAGGCUCUCGCUUACGAUGCGGAUAUCAAUGCAAUCAAACCGGGCAACGGUUCGAAUCCCAUGCAACUAAGGUUGAUUUAUAUAAUAUUAAAUAACUUAACUUAACUUAACUUUCAAUUUCUAAAACACAAGAUGUCAUAGUUUUUGUAUUUUCCCUCAUGUUUUAAUGUUGUCUUACUUUCUUUAAACCUGUAGAACUGACGGAAAUUAUUGACUUUUGUCUCUGUAGUGUCAUAAAUUUUUAUAGUUUCUGGUCGGUAUAGCAUUAGACCGGGGAACAAAUGAUUUUACACUUGCUCAAAUACCAAAAAUUCAGAUAUUUCUACGUCUUUUUCGGUUUUAGUUGACAAAUUCGGGAUAGAAUUGACAAUCUUAUGAAUGUUUACAUUAAUGUAAUUUUUUUUCCGUUUUUCAAAAAUACUAUAACAAACUUUGAUAACGUGUCCUGUAAAGUUUACCAAAAGGACUUUUUGUACCUUUUCGCAUGGACUGGCUCAUAUCAUUGUCAAAAUCACAAAAAAACAAAAAAAUCGAAAUUGCCAAAAAGCAAUGAAAUAUCGAAAUACUUAUAAUACUUCAUAUCCAACGUUAUAAUUUAAUGUAAAUAUUGACAUAUAAUUAUCCCUAGCAACAAAAAUUGUCCCCUUAGCAACCAUACACCAUUCAGCAAAAAGUCCAUAUUCCAAAUAUUUAAGCAACGAUUUGAUGUUUCAAAUGGAUUCGGCAUCUAUCAAAACAUCUAGUUUGCAAAAAACACAUCUAAAAUAUGUUGAUUUUUAAAAAAGUUAGGGCGAAAUCACUCUUUAACUAUACAUAGGUUUUGCUUGGUACUUUCGCCAAUAUCACCUAUAUGAGCCAGUCCAUGCGAAAAGGUACAAAAACGAAAAAUUGACGAAAUUCUAAAUAGUGUGCAUAAUUAUUGGUAGUAGACUUGUGAUUUAUAAAACACAUUUACUCUCCCUCAUAUCAUCAAGCUGUGAGCUACACGCACCUGCAAGUGUUGAGACCCCCCCUUUAGUUUUAUCAAGAUUUUUAGUGAAUUAUUUCAUAUAUUUCAAUCAUUUUCAAAGUACAGUUUAAAUGGCUUGAUUUUCCACUUGAUAAUGUUAACCCCGGUAGCAGUGGGGAUAAGGCUCUCGCUUACGAUGCGGAUAUCAAUGCAAUCAAACCGGGCAACGGUUCGAAUCCCAUGCAACUAAGGUUGAUUUAUAUAAUAUUAAAUAACUUAACUUAACUUUCAAUUUCUAAAACACAAGAUGUCAUAGUUUUUGUAUUUUCCCUCAUGUUUUAAUGUUGUCUUACUUUCUUUAAACCUGUAGAACUGACGGAAAUUAUUGACUUUUGUCUCUGUAGUGUCAUAAAUUUUUAUAGUUUCUGGUCGGUAUAGCAUUAGACCGGGGAACAAAUGAUUUUACACUUGCUCAAAUACCAAAAAUUCAGAUAUGUCUACGUCUUUUUCGGUUUUAGUUGACAAAUUCGGGAUAGAAUUGAAAAUCUUAUGAAUGUUUACAUUAAUGUAAUUUUUUUUCGGAUAAAAUCGUUUUUCAAAAAUACUAUAAAAAACUUUGAUAACGUGUCCUGUAAAGUUUACCAAAAGGACUUUUUGUACCUUUUCGCAUGGACUGGCUCAUAUGUGAAGGAUUUUACUUGAAGGAUGAUCAAGGACUUUUGGAGCAGAUGUAAAAUUUCCUAUAAAAUUCUAAAACUUUGACAGAUAUGAUUGACUGAAAUGGGGUUUUUCAUUUACAUUUCACUGAAAGGAUAACAGUUCUUUAUUUCAAGGUUGUUUUUAUUUUGG